rnacentral:rRNA from 1 species
CCUACGGGUGGCAGCAGUGAGGAAUAUUGGUCAAUGGGCGCGAGCCUGAACCAGCCAAGUAGCGUGAAGGAUGACUGCCCUACGGGUUGUAAACUUCUUUUAUAAGGGAAUAAAGUGAGGCACGUGUGCAGUUUUGUAUGUACUUUAUGAAUAAGGAUCGGCUACUCCGUGCCAGCAGCCGCGGUUAUAUGGAGGAUUCGAGCGUUUUUCGGAUUUAUUGGGUUUAAAGGGGGCGUUGGUGGGUUGUUAAGUCAGUUGUGAAAGUUUUCGGCUCAACCGUAAAAUUGCAGUUGAAACUGGCAGUCUUGAGUACGGGUGAGGUAGGCGGAAUUCGUGGUGUAGCGGUGAAAUGCUUAGAUAUCACGAAGAACUCCGAUUGCGAAGGCAGCUUACUAAACUGCCACUGACAUUGAUGCUCGAAAGUGUGGGUAUCAAACAGGAUUAGAUACCCGAGUAGUC